UACGUAGGGGGCGAGCGUUGUCCGGAUUUAUUGGGCGUAAAGAGCUCGUAGGCGGUCUGUCGCGUCGAUCGUGAAAACUUGGGGCUUAACCCUGAGCUUGCGGUCGAUACGGGCAUGACUGGAGUUCGGCAGGGGAGACUGGAAUUCCUGGUGUAGCGGUGAAAUGCGCAGAUAUCAGGAGGAACACCGGUGGCGAAGGCGGGUCUCUGGGCCGAUACUGACGCUGAGGAGCGAAAGCGUGGGGGAGCGAACAGGG
rnacentral:rRNA from 1 species